CUUUAAUUGUAUCUUUCUAAAGGCCGUGGCACAUUCUGGGAAAUGGUUCCAGCAUUGACGACUGAUAUUAUAUCCAAGUGGCCAUUCUUCACAUGGGAGUUGCCAGUUUUCCACAAAUUCAGCAUCUAUUCUUGAGUUGUAUCGUUCACAUGGAGAAAAUCUGGAGCAAAAAAGUGAGAGCUCUGUAGGCACUAGGGAUGUGGAGUACAGCAGUUUGCUAAUGCUUGAAGGAAUGCCAGCUAUAAGAAUCAAAACGGAGCCACCGGAACCUGGGCAAGGGGUAAGUCCAACUCUCCAGACACUUCAGUAAUUACUUC